CUGCCGAUGACCGAGCACAAAUUAGGGUCUAGCGAUAAGAGGUAUGUUUCUAUAUCUUAUAUUAUGAUAUUAAUGCAUAUUAUAUGGUUUAAAUUCUGAUAAGGUGAUCUUGGAGUUAGAUUUUGGUUUUAUGAUUUCAUAAUAAUUGCUUUGAAAUCUGUGUUUCCGCCUUGACAUCAAACCCUACAAAACCGCCGCUCUAUAUGCUUAGACUUUUGGUGAGAUCUGAACUCCUUAGCGAAGGCUAUGG
rnacentral:lncRNA from 1 species